GUACAUAUCGUCCACCUACUAGCUAUCCAAUUACUACUGGGCAAACUACGGCCUGUGCAAACACACGAGUAUAUAAACUCGUAUACAAACUUCUGGGACUUCACACGUAUACGUCAACAAUGCAACCCUGCUUCUGUGCUUAUACUUUUAAUUUUGCCUACAUAUCUUUUGCGCUCUACUGGAGUGGAGCUUUAGAAUUAACUACAUUUAACUGGAGGAACAACCUGACGUGGGAAGCGGUCUUGUUUCAGCCAUUCAAAGGAGAAUCCAAAAAAAAUAUAUAUUCCGAAAUUGAUGGUUUGGAACGCGGCCAAACUUCGAGUGCAACCUAACAGCGCCGCAACAAAAACGCACUAAAAGCAGCAGAGCCAAAAGAACACCCGCAGCAACUCCAGCCAUAUUAGAAUUAUGGACAGCGAUUUAGGGGUACCUAACCAUAGCCGCAAAACAGCAGAAAAUAUAUUGCGCCGAUGCCCAUGGAAACCAAACGUAGGAGAUGGUCAUGCAACGAGAGCACCAAUUCUCAUUCGCAUCCCCGAAAACUUCACACCGAAGUUGGCGCCGAAAUUCUCAGGCCCCUACGUAAUU